CGGAGCGUGGCGCAGCCUGGUAGCGCACUUGCAUGGGGUGCAAGGGGUCGGAGGUUCAAAUCCUCUCGCUCCGACCA
rnacentral:tRNA from 1 species